UACGGAGGGUGCAAGCGUUAUCCGGAUUCACUGGGUUUAAAGGGUGCGUAGGUGGGCAGGUAAGUCAGUGGUGAAAUCUCUGAGCUUAACUCAGAAACUGCCGUUGAUACUAUCUGUCUUGAAUUUAGUGGAGGUGAGCGGAAUAUGUCAUGUAGCGGUGAAAUGCUUAGAUAUGACAUAGAACACCAAUUGCGAAGGCAGCUUGCUACACUAUCAUUGACACUGAGGCACGAAAGCGUGGGGAUCAAACAGG
rnacentral:rRNA from 1 species